rnacentral:rRNA from 1 species
UACGGAGGGAGCUAGCGUUGUUCGGAAUUACUGGGCGUAAAGCGCGCGUAGGUGGUUGUCCAAGUUGGAUGUGAAAGCCUUGAGCUCAACUCAAGAAAUGCAUUCAGGACUGGGCGGCUAGAGGACCGGAGAGGAUAGUGGAAUUCCCAGUGUAGUGGUGAAAUACGUAGAGAUUGGGAAGAACACCAGUGGCGAAGGCGGCUAUCUGGACGGUUUCUGACACUAAGGCUCGAAAGCGUGGGGAGCAAACAGG